GGACACCAAACUCUGGCCUCCAGAAAACUCUGAUCAAUUCAAGUUAUUUGACUACAAAGAUCGAAAUCACAUCAAUAUGACAAAAAACUCAAAUCAAAUUUCACAGAUGCCUUACCCACGCCUUACGAGGCAUUGAUACCAGUUUUGUUGGGAUUUUGCCACCCAACUGAACAAAAAUUGUAGAAAAAUGAUGCAGCACAAACACAUUGCAAUAAUAUAAACAACACUAGAAUUGUUCACCCAAUUCGAUCAAGCAUAAUCUUGGGGGCUCUGAGGUAAAAGGAACCCGUCACUAUGUACAAAGAACCGCCCAAGAGAGAGUUAAAGAUUAGUACAACCAAGACUCAGAGACCACACACGGUCACCGAUCCUAAAGAUCUCCCAAAAAUCAGUCUAUACAAUACAAAAAUCAGAAAAAAAAAAUCUCUGCCUUACACGUCCAAAUUUACCAACUUUAAAUGAAAGCCUAAAAUACUGAACAAUAGACAGAAUACACAAUAUACAAGAUCUGAUUCUAAUCUAUAAACUGAAUACAAGAUGGUUUCAAUCAAAGAACAAGAAUUUUCAAAGUGAAAGCUAUCAAAGAACAGAGAGAGAGAAAACCAAAUGAAAACUUUACAACUCGUA
rnacentral:lncRNA from 1 species